rnacentral:rRNA from 1 species
GCCAAACAUCUAGCCUAUUUGCCUACAAUCCACACACUAACUCCCCCCCCCCCCCGCAUAAAACAUUUUAUAGUUUGAGUAAAGGCGAUUGAAAAAUAAUCAGAGCUUCAACCCCAGUACCGCAAGGGAAAGCUGAAAUAUAAAUGAAAUAAGCUUAAGCAUAAAAUAGUAAAGACUUUGACUUGUACCUUUUGCAUCAUGGUCUAGCAAGUCCAAAUCAAGCAUAGCGAACCCCCAGUUUGACCCCCCGAAACUAGGCGAGCUACUUCAAAACAGCCUUAAGGGCCAACCCGUCUCUGUUGCAAAAGAGUGGGAAGAUUUUCAAGUAGUAGUGACAAGCCCACCGAGCCUAGAGAUAGCUGGUUAUUCAAGAAAAGAAUUUUAGUUCUACCUUAAGCUCAACAUGAUUACAAACAGCCCACCAAGCUUAAGAGCUAUUCAAAUAAGGCACAGCUUAUUUGAAAGAGGCUACAACCUAAACUUUAGGGUAAGUCCUAUAACCUAACCAAGUUGGCCUAAAAGCAGCCACCUUUUAAAAAGCGUUACAGCUUAACUUCUAUUGCCGCUAACCCCACCACCCCUCACGAACCCCACACCAGUAUUGAAUGACUCCAUAACCUAUGGAGGCCACCAUGCUAGAACUAGUAACAAGAACAUGAGAUUCUCCAAAAUGUAACCAUAAGCUAAAAUGGACCGCCCAUUAGCACUUAACGAUACUGAACCCUAUAUAGUAACCCCACUAGAAAACUCUAUUACAAGCCUCGUUAACCUAACACAAGAACACUACUGGAAAGAUUAAAAGGAGAAGAAGGAACUCGGCAAAUUUCAACCCCGCCUGUUUACCAAAAACAUCGCCUCUUGCAAAGAUAUGAGAGGUCUAGCCUGCCCACUGAUUUAUUUAACGGCCGCGUGAUUUUAAACGCGCGAAGGUAGCAUAAUCACUUGUUCUCUAAAUAAGGACUCGUAUCAACGGCACCACGAGGGUUGUACUGUCUCCUCCCCCCAAUCAGUGAAACUAAUCUCCCUGUGAAAAAGCAGGGAUGACUCUAUAAGACGAGAAGACCCCAUGGAGCUUAAAACCUGCAACAACUUCCCCCGCACAAACCACAUAACCUUAAGCCCUGUUCACUGGUUUUGGGUUGGGGUGACCGCGGAGUAAAACAAAACCUCCAUAACAAAAGGCACUUAGCCCUUAUCCAAGAACAACAGUUCUAAGAAUCAACACCCUGAUGUCACGACCCGACAAUCGAUCAAUGAACCAAGUUACCCUGGGGAUAACAGCGCAAUCUACCCCAAGAGCCCCUAUCGACAGGUGGGUUUACGACCUCGAUGUUGGAUCAGGAUACCCCGGCGGUGCAGCCGCUGCCAAAGGUUUGUUUGUUCAACAAUUAAAAUC